UAGGCAGACACUUGCUGAGAUGUUGACUUAUGGGAUGCUAGUUGAAGGCUUCAGGUUUCUCCUGAGGCUAGCGUAUUAUCUAAGUGAAGAAUGACAGAACCUCGUCUAGACAGGUGUAGGCAGGAUUUCAAAGUCCAGAUUCAGACCUCAGUUUCCCCACUUCACCUAGUGAAGGUGAGGCAGCCCUCCCUGGGGGUUCGGAGGCCCAGUGCACUGAGCCACCGCACCACACGGUUUCACAAGGAGGGCGGAGGAGGACCCGCCCUGGCUGCAGCUCUGGGGCUGGGACGAUCGGAGCAGGGGCGGGUCGCGCUGGUGCCCUCACCGCUAGCCGCCCAAUCGCCGUGGGCCCGCGGAGCCCCUGGGGGCUGGGGCAGCGGGCGGAACGUGCCGCGGCUGCGCCAACGCGCGAGCGCGGGGCCGGACCGGGCGGGUGCGCUCAGUCUGGCGGCAGCGGCGGUGCACAGACAGACAGACGUGCCGGGAGCGCAGCACCGCCCGCAGCCCAGCAAUCCGGGCCGCGCCAGCCCGCCCGCCCGCCAUGGUGUCGUGGAUCAUCUCCAGGCUGGUGGUGCUUAUAUUUGGCACCCUUUAUCCUGCAUAUUAUUCAUACAAGGCUGUGAAGUCCAAGGACAUUAAAGAAUAUGUCAAAUGGAUGAUGUAUUGGAUUAUAUUUGCCCUCUUCACCACGGCAGAGACGUUCACAGACAUCUUCCUUUGCUGGUUUCCAUUCUAUUAUGAACUAAAAAUAGCGUUUGUAGCCUGGCUGCUGUCUCCCUAUACAAAAGGAUCCAGCCUCCUGUACAGGAAGUUUGUUCAUCCCACAUUGUCUUCAAAAGAAAAGGAAAUCGAUGACUGCCUGGUCCAAGCAAAAGAUCGAAGCUAUGACGCCCUUGUGCACUUUGGGAAGCGGGGCUUGAAUGUGGCAGCCACUGCAGCUGUGAUGGCUGCCUCCAAGGGACAGGGUGCCUUGUCAGAGAGACUCCGGAGCUUCAGCAUGCAGGACCUCACCACCAUCAGGGGUGAUGGUGCUCCUGCUCCCUCGGGCCCUCCUCCACCAGGGACUGGGCGGUCCAGCGGCAAACACAGCCAGCCCAAGAUGUCCAGGAGUGCUUCUGAGAGUGCCGGCAGCUCGGUGUGUACCUGCUGCUCCACCUGCCGGACCCGGAAAGGUGAGUAGCCAGCCUGCCUGCAGCCUGCUGGAUUCAGCUUGCUUCAGGGGUCGCUAACCAACUGCUGGACUCUGACCUUGGGGCUCCCUUUCAGCUGAAUGGGUCAGAUGAGGGACAAGACCCUUAGGGGAAGCAAAAAUAAUGUCUUAACAUUUCUGUGGCCAAACUUCUGGAGAAGCGGCAGUCAGGAUGCUGGCUGGGCUCAGUCACCUGAGGGUGUGACUAGACCUGGUAGAUCUAUCCCAAGAUGGCUCCAGGGGCCACUGCCUGGAGUUCCUUACCAUCUGGGUCUCUCUCAAGCUCUUGGGGAGUGCUGAAACAUCGCCAGUGGCUUGGCCCAGAAUGAAUGGUUCAAGAGAGAGGCUAGGCAGGAAGCCAUCAUGACCUUUAAUGACUUUGCCUUUGAAGUCAAGUUAGCUCUCGGUCUGUUUGAUGGCCAUGAGUCACCACGGAACCUGUGUUCCAUGAGAGGAGAAUUAUCCAGCCUCUUAGAAGGAAUGUUAGAGAUGUAUGUGUGAAUCUUUAAGCCAACAUAUAGCAGUGCACACCCAGUGCAAUGGGUCCUGAGGACAGAGGGCCUUGCCAUGACCCUCUGAAGGGAGGAAGCCCUGAGUUUUUAGGGGAUUCUACCCCUACUAAGAGUGCUCUGGCUUGCCACUUACUAGCUGCGCAACUUUGUGUGAGUCACCUAACUGCUCUGAACCUGUGUUUUCAUCAUAAAAUAGAGAUAAAGGUCCCUGCUUUCCUCCUUCCACUAUAAUGGAAAUGGCUGUUAAAGGGGCUUUUGAAGGGCGACUAUUAUUUUAUUAUAUUCUUUAUUUGUGUAUAAAGGGUGAUAUGUGAUCAUGCCAUGGCCUCUGUGUGGAAGUCAGAGAACAACUUGGGAGAGUCGGUUCUUGCUUCCCACAACAUGAGUUUUAGGAAGAGUCUGUCCUUGCUUCCCACAACAUGAGUUUUAGGGACCAAAAACUUGGCGAAAGGUGCCUUUACUAACAGCCAUCUCUCUGGCCCACGGCUACUCUUUUUAAAGGCUGUGAUAGCCAGAUGAACCCAGGAUUUUGGGUCUCCCACUUCCAGAUAAAACCCCUUGAUGUUGCUGCUGGUGUAUGUGAGUGACGGCUGGUGGAGCUAUGGCUCUCUGGGGCCUGCUAUAUUGCUCUUACAAGAUGUGCCUCCACUUUGCCUGAGGGAGGGCACUGGAUUUUGAAAGCCGUAAGUCCAAGACAAGUGACAGACAGGAGCACUAAGCGGGGACACAGUGGGAGAGCAGCAUUCAACCAGUCUUGGGCAGCCCAUGUCCAACUGGGGCCUCCCAGGCCAUCUUGGAAGCUGGGGACUCCCAUUGGUAGACACUGGUAGACUUCCUAGUUCCUGGGAAACAGCUCUUCGUUGUCCCCAGAUGGCCAUGGUCAUGUCUGUCCCCCAUUCUACAUGAUGAGUUGUAAGAACCAUGAGCCAGGACAGCAUCACCCAGGGACCAGGUUGGUUAACGUCCCAUUCUUUCUGAUUCCUGCCUCUAAGAUACCUUCACCUAUGAGGACACCAGUAGUAGUCCAAGUCUAUGUAGCAGACAAUUAAAUCAGCAGACAGUAGGGAUCUACAGACUCUGCAGACCACUGCAGCAGGUGUCUAGGAAUGGAUGGCAUUUGGAGGAGUGGAGCAGUAGCAGCAGAUAGCUGGAAGCAUCCAGCGGGGAUGGCUCUGCUUGGAGUCUAGGCCUGGUAGCUUUGGCUCAAGCCUUGGCUUUUGCAUUCCCUACUCUCCUAAGGUCCUGCUGCCAACCACUACUCUGGAAUCUUCUUCCUGCCCCCUAGAGCUCCUUGCAAGGACCCAAUCCAUGAUUCCUCCACAGUGGGAACCUCUAUGUCCUUAGGGACAACUCUCCACUUUCUGGGUCUCCUUCUCCCUUCUGUAAGGUGGAAGGGAUGGGUUAGUGUUUCUGUGGUCCCUCUAGCUCUCUGCCAGUGAAGGGCACUCUACUGGAAAGUGCUGGCAAGUGGGCUUGACUCACAGCAGGGGCGGAAGCUGACUCUCAAGCUUCUGCGCUUUGAGAGGAUUGGGGGUGGGGGUGGAGGUGGGUCCUGUGGAAUGGAUGGUGUUCCGUUCAGAACAUGGGAAGGUUCUAGUCAUCCUUAGAGACUGAACUUUCUAAAGGAUUUGCAAAUCCAGGUCUUAAUUCAGAUAGUGGAGAAAGGAGAAUUGGGAAUUUGGGGGCUGACAGUCACCUUACAGGGCAGCAACAGCCAUAGCGUUAGAGUUCAGAGCCCAGCACGCAGCAGUUGUUAGUCAGGUUCUGUUCUAAUCUAUGCCUCCCAGACACUAGAAAGUUCUCUCCCUCCCUCUCUGCUUCAUUCUGAUUGUCAGUCGGCUCCCUGCUGUUUCCUGCAUAGUUCUGUCUCUUUGGAGAAUCUUCCUGUCCACCACCUUUCCUCCCCUUUUUUCUCUCUUCCUCCCUGAGCUGCCUGUCAUCAGUCAGAGAGGUGUAUCGGGCCCUUUUAAAGUCAAGUCAGCAGGGCAUAAAUUUAAGUACACGCGGGUUUCGUUCCAAAGCCCCUUCUCUAACAGGUUGUUCUUUUCUUCCUCCUUGGUGACUGCUGGGAUCCUGGAUAUGGACAUUAAGUGGUUGAGGGAGAUGUGAAUGAGGGUGGUGUGAAGUCAUGGGAGCCCCACCAGGUCCGAAACCCACUGGCGUUUUCUGACGAGGAGGAGGAGGACCUGUUGGAGUUCAUGUACAAGUAUAAGGCACCGAGGAGGAGCGAGUUGCCCCUGGAGGCACCGCCUAGAACCCUACGAUCCCGCUUCAGGAAGAAAAGUACCUCAUCCUCGGCCACUGAAACCACGUGAGAUGAGCCAACAGCCCCGGAUCCACACAUGUCUGUCUCCUCUGCCUUAAAGAGCUAGUCACUAGUACCAUGGAAGUCCGCAGGCUGGGUGUGCUUCGAGUGUGCAGCCCACGGACAUGGCCUUUACUCGCUCCCCUCUUCUGCCUUUAAGACUCUUCUGUUCUUUCCUUUUUGUUCCUGCUGGGGAGAGGCUAAAGGGAAAAGGUGGUGGUGGAGGGUGACCUUUACGUCUUCUGGGGUUAGUGAUUUUCCCCAAUUGGAUUGUCAUUGUGGCCGCAGUGUUUUUAGAUCUAUAAGCACUCUUUCCAUGAUGCUGCUGAGAUGUACAUUUGUAAUUUGUUUGUUGCAUAGUUUUUAGUCCUGUAAAUGCAAACGACGUGAUCUUUUUUAAAAACCCUUUUGUUGUUCUUGGUACUAAUACAUUGGACUAUGGUGUACAUAGUUACAGCUUUUGGCUUAAUGUAAUGAACUCGCAAGGGCUGCCAGAAGUUCUGGUGAGAGAGCUGCAAAAACAAAAAUGUAGACAAAUAUUUUAAUUCUAGGCAAUGUCUCCAACUUCCUUACAAAGGCAGUGCCAGUAAGGCAUCCCUUCUCCUGCAGGAAGGCGGUGGUGUGCUUCUGGCGGCUGAGUGGUUGGUAGGUCAGAGCGGAGGCAGGAGUGCAGUGUUCCAGCAACAGGAAGAAAGUUGGUGGGCAUCAGGGAAGAGGGAGGAAGAGUACGGCUUCUUCAGUUCUGGGUCCCUGGCUGUCCUAAUAGGUUUGUUGUGCUGUACCUAAUCUCACCCUUCCUGCCCUUUGGGGUCAAGAACAGAAGCUUCCGAGCCCUUUGGGGAGCACUGGCCCUGCUUCAGGCAGGCCAGCUCACCCUUACUUAGCACGGCCAUUUAGGGAAUGAAGAUCAGCUGCUGGCAGAAUUGUGAGUAUCUCAGAAGGGCUUGGCAAGAGUGUUUCUCCUUCAGGGACCAGCGCUGUGGCCGACUUCUCCAGGAGCCUACAUCUGAGCACCUUGUUUUAGAGUACACAAGGCAAAAAGAAAAGUCUAGAACUAGCUUUUGUUACAGAUGUGCUCAAAACACAUGAGACACUCAAAUCUCAAAUGGUCGCCAGAAGGCAGGGUCUAGGGAGGACUGAGGCUAAGCCACAGGCAGCUGUGGCUCUUGCUCCUUUCUGGCUUGUGUGGAAGGUGAAUGGGAAGGACUGACACUCAUGCUCACUCCAUGUCUUCGUGGAUGUUUUAUACAAGCCAGGACUGCAGUGAGAAUUUUGACAAGUCUCUGACUUAGAUAACAUUGCGUUGAGGGAGCUGCCCUCUCCUCUGAUAGCUGAGCCAAAUUGUAGGGCUAGUCUGUGUGUGCGUAGAGUUGGUGUUUUCGUUCCAUGGAAUGCAUGCAGCAGUCACAACCCAGUUACUCCUAUUUGGAUUAUAUUUGUUCACAGCUAUGCCCUGAAGGCUAGAGAAAUAGUGUUGUAUACCACAUAGAACUGUCAACUGACUGCAAACAGGCUCAAUUACAAACCGCUCUGGUACCGAGCUAUGCAAACAUGCACUGGGAGACUGCUCCAUCAGCUGGGCCUUGGCCAUUUCACAAAGGGUUUCAGUUGCGAGUUCAUUGCUGCCAGAUACACCUAAUGGAAUUUUCCAAAGGUGAUUUUGUAUUUCAGAACUAACCCAAGAGCUGAUGACUGACGGUAAAUAGUCUGCCUGGGCCCCAUAUCCAUCUGAACCCAUUAAGCAAAGCAUCUGCCCUCUUCAAGCUCACCCCACAGCUCCAGACAAGAGAAGUGACACCCUUCAAACAUACCAACGUGUCAGCUGGGUGUAGCCAGGAUGAAGAGGAACAGGUGCAGGAAAGCCUGAGAGAAGCAGCUUUGCAGCUCCCCCUCCACCCCCCGAAAUAAUAAAUGGCUUUAGAGACAGAGUUCAAGUCCUAGUGUAUUUUCAUCGUUUUACAACAGGAAGUCAUAACACAUCGAGGCUCUUGAGUUUGUACUCAGCCAUGCCAAAACCCAGUUUGAAGCACUCCUCAGACAUGCUGUAUUACUUCUCGCUCAAGAUUUAAAAUAUAAAGGUAUCUAAAUCGUUGUCUUAUUGUAAAUGUAACUCCUUUUCCUUCAAGUGUUGACUAAGUUGUUUCCUCUCUUAAAGACACUCACUGUACAGCCAAACACAGCUGUCUUACUUCUUGAGAACUGUGUUUACUUUUCUGACAAGCUGUGUAUUUGUAUGUAGACUGACAUAUGAUGUGAAUGACCUUGUAUGUAGAAGUGCGGUGCUCUGUCUACGCAGGAUAAAUGAAUGUUUCUAGUUCGCUGACUUAAGACACAGGCUGUUUACAAAUCGCUAGCUCGAAGGUCUACUUGUCGCGGCUUUGAGUUACUCUCCAUUUCUGCAGAGGUGAGGUGCAGUCUCCUGCUCAUCAACUGGAGAUUUAGUCAUAAUGCCUCCUGAGUUUGUGUGAAUAGCUUGCUCACUUUGCUGGCCUUUGAUAUGUAUGUUCUCUGUGGUAAACUGUCCAUGUGUUUGUAUUAAGUGCUUAUCAACCACAACCAUCACGUAGCCAUCCCAGUUCUUCACCUUGCACAGUAUUUGAAGUAUUAGACGUGGUGGAAGAUGUGCUUCAUCCUCUGACAGUGGACGCUCGAAGAGCUCAUGUUCCAGAUUGUGACUGUGCGCAUUUCCUCUAGUUUCUUUCUGAAAUCUCUCUAUAAAUGAGUACAAUUAAUAGUAUACUGGACUGUGUAUCUACAGGAUGUAAAUUGCAGUAUUCCAAAGGCUGAAGCUCUGCUGUUUUGUUAUAAUGCCUGAUAAACAUCUUGAAUAAAGUCUUAACAUUUUUCUUUUAAAAAAA